rnacentral:rRNA from 1 species
GAUGAACGCUGGCGGCGUGCCUAAUACAUGCAAGUCGAGCGAACAGACGAGGAGCUUGCUCCUCUGACGUUAGCGGCGGACGGGUGAGUAACACGUGGAUAACCUACCUAUAAGACUGGGAUAACUUCGGGAAACCGGAGCUAAUACCGGAUAAUAUAUUGAACCGCAUGGUUCAAUAGUGAAAGACGGUUUUGCUGUCACUUAUAGAUGGAUCCGCGCCGCAUUAGCUAGUUGGUAAGGUAACGGCUUACCAAGGCAACGAUGCGUAGCCGACCUGAGAGGGGGACCGGCCACACGGGAACUGAGAAACGGGCCAGACUCCUAGGGGAGGCAGCAGUAGGGAAUCUUCCGCAAUGGGCGAAAGCCUGACGGAGCAACGCCGGGGGAGUGAUGAAGGGUUUCGGAUCGUAAAAAUCUUUUAUUAGGGAAAAAAAAAUGUGUAAGUAAAUAUGCACGUUUUGACGGUACUUAACCAGAAAGCCACGGCUAAAUACGU